CUAAAAAAAUAUUAUUUUAUUAUUUUAUGAAUUUGUGUCAAAUUUUGAACCGGUCCAAGCUAAGACCGGCAAAAUUUAUUAAUAAAGAUUAUUACUUUAUCGAUUAUUAAUUUAUAGAUGCUUUAAUGUAUAUAUCUUUUAUAAAAUAUUCAUUCUCUCAUGGAAAAUAAAUAAAAAUCCUUAUUUACUUUUACCAAGUUUAACCUUUAUACUCGUUUUCAAGGUACAUCUUUUUUUUUUGGUCUAAAUGUUAAGCAAGGUACAUCUUUCAAAAUGACAUAUAUGCGAUGUGGAUUGUUUAUGAUAUGAUCCAAAGUACUGAUAUGAGCGCCAAUAGAUUUUGAGAGAAACCUCAGUCAACGAUUUUUCCCAUAACAUACAACAGUCUAUUUAUGUUUGGUCUCAUAGUAUUUAAUCAUUGAACCGCCUGGAAUCCCUUUUUAUCCUUGUAAUCCUUUAAUUUAACAUUAGGCGAUAACGAUGACCACAUGAGAAAUCAUGAUUUAAGAUAUAAAGUAUAAUAAAUCCAUUAAAUUUGAACGGCACGAUAAUAUAAACUAGGUCUAAAUUUACUUUUGAUUUUGAAGUCCAGCGUUGCAAGCACACUCUCUAAUAAUCCACCACACCACACUUUUGCAUUUUAUAGUUUAUAAAAAAAGAAGAGUUUAUUACACACAUGGGCAGUUUUAAGUUUUCUUUUACAUAAUAGAGCAGUUCCCACUACAGAAGUAGUUUUUCAAUGGAAAGACUCCAAAAAGCGUAACUGGUCAUUUCAUUUAAUUAGGUUAAUUAUUUUAUUAUAUUUUUUGGUUUGGUUUUUGAAUUUCAAAACGGGAGUAGUGGAGUCAUGUUAUUAAUUACUGUCACCUUUACCUUUUGACAAACAUCAGUUACCGAGAAUAAAUCUCGAAACUCUGUUUGAGAGGAAUAGGAGGCGAUUUCCAGCCGGUGAGAGAGUUUAACAACGUACGUUGAAGAUUCCGGCAACAAUGUCGAGGAGACGGAGUCUGUGGGUGGAAGUGAACGUAGGUGAUUAGGGUGAUAACUGCUUUGAUUUUUUAUUUUGUUUCCCUUUCUAAAUAAAUAUCUUUGUGUUUCCGAAGGUGACGAAGCGGUGGAGGAUAUCGAGGGGGGAGGGGGAGCGGCGAAGAGGCGCAUGGCCUUCAUGAUUUUAAAGAACUUCUGGCUGGGAGGAUUUUUUCGACAGACCGAUUCUCAAGCGAGAGACAUAAUCUGAAAUCUGGGAAUCUUGGGAAUGUUGAAGAGAAUGAAAUGGGAGCAGAGAGAAAGAAAGAAGUUCAAUACAUACAGGUUGCAUACGGUUUUGAUCUAAACGAAACAUAUAUUUUGUGUUUUGUGUAUGUACAUUUGUUUGUGUACACGAGUACAUUGGGUGAGCACGAUGAUGUAUACGAAAAUGUUGGUGUAUGCAUGUAUAUGUUAAAGAGAUAUGAAAGUCAUAUUCUACUGCCAUUUGAGAAUCAACUUCAUUAAGCUUUGUAUAAUGAUAUGUAAUUCAUAUUCUACUACCAUUUGAGAAUCAACUUCAUUAAUCUUUGUAUAAUGAUAUGAAGUCAUAUUCUAUUACCAUUUCAUCUUUGAAUGGAAUUAGUUUAAUUUUUCAGUGAUGUACACAUGUACACUACCAUAUGUAUUGUACACAUAUAUGUUACCAACAUUUAAUGUAUACAUGUACACACGUACACUAACGAAUGUACAUAACUUUACAACAUGUUGGACAUCUAACAUCAAUCUCAAACAUAUGUGUACAUGUAAACAUCUGAUAAAAUAAGAUAUGUAUAUUGUACACAUUAGCCCUUAUCGAUAGUGAAAACAUGUGUACAUGUAAAUUUCUUUUGAAAGUAUAUAUGUUAAACAUGCAAACAUAUUUAGAAGUGUUAAAAAGAAUAAAAGCCUUCCAAGAUCUAGCUUUCAAUGCAUAACCAUCAGUGCCUGUGAAAUAUUUUCCGCAAAUCUCGUCCCAUCGAUUUAUUCCAAUAUGGGAGCAUGCUUCCAUAUAGAAAGAUUAUUGUUUGAUGUACAAUGUGAUUGUGUACAUCCCAUGCCGUGUACAUUCUGUACAAUGUAAUCGUGUACAUCUAUGUCGUGUACAAAUUGGUUGUGUACACGUGUAGAUCUCAUGUAUUCUAUGUCGUGUACAAUGUAUUUUUGGAGACUAAUCUGCACAUUUUAAUGCUAUGGGGCCAUAAUAAAAAUAAUCAAAAGCCAGCUGAUUAUUUCUGAAAGAUUGUUGUUUUCUACACAAUGUGAUUUUGUACAUCCCAUGUCGUGUACUCGUGUACAUCUCAUGUCAUGUAUAAUGUGAUUUUGGGGACUAAUCUGCACAUUUUAAUAUUUUGGGGGCAUAAUAAAAAUAAUUAAAACCGAAGGACUAUUUCUGAAAAAGAUGAAACUCAUCCAUUGAUGUCGCUCGGUCUAUCUUUUCGUUGGAUCUCGUUGACGACGAUGGCGAGCAGGCAACGACGGAGCAGAGACACAGCAAUGAGAAUUAAUUCCUAUGGCGGCGAAGGCUGAAAGCACGACCCGAGAUGGAGCAGUCAUGGGCUUGAGACGUGGAGAAGCCGAUGUUAACGAGACGCGACGAAGAGCAACGACCACCGGUGAACGAGACCUAACAUCGACGCCAUCUUGGACAGAGGAGCUGAGGGCGGAGAGGAGGUGAUGAAUUGGAGCUUUUCGACUGUAACCCGUUUAUUGACCUGUCAACUCCAAGCACCAAAAGAAUCAACUUUUCUUUAGCUUUCAUCAUCUAGGAUUCCGUAAUUCUCGAACCCAGAACUCAAGUUCGUCAAAGCUCGAGUCCUCGACGACAAUUUGGUCAUACGCCGUUGGGAUAUUGAUUAUUUUCAUUAUUUGGUUAGGUUCAUAGAUGUGAAGCUAUUGUAGAACAUGAAAAGCAUGGCUUGUGAGAUUUGAGAAAAAAAUGUAGGAGUAAAAUCGAUGAGGGAGAGAGAAAGAUAUUAGGACUCAAGUGCAUUUAAAUGUUUAGUUGACCAAUUUUAUGGUUAGUUAACCUAACUAAAUGAAACGAUCAGUUACGCUUUUUGGAGUCUUUCCAUUGAAAAACUACCUCUUUAGUGGGAACUGCUCUAUUGUGUAAAAGAAAACUUGAAACUGCCCAUUUGUGUAAUAAACUCAAAAAAGAAUGAGUCAUUUACACUCUAGGACAGUUUUCAAGUUUUAUUUACAGGAUAAGACAGUUUCCGCUAGUGGGGUAGUUUUUUCUAACUAGAAACCAAACCAUUAUCACUAAAGUCAUUUAUCUAACUAAAGUGGUCCUACCAUGUUAAUUAUUAUUAUUUUUCUUUGGAACACAAAGAAUUUCUUAUUAUUGGUGGACGUGAAAGAGGAUUAAACUUGAUAAUAAUUUUAUUUUGGAGCACAACUUUCUCUUCUCCACUUCGAUCUUCUUCUUCUCCACCUUGACCUUCAUCCUACGACAAACACCGCCGCCGGCUCAGUCUCCGACUCUGUUUCCGAUCUCCUACUUUGCGGCGAGUCUACAAUUCAUCAUCACCAGAUGGUCACUCUCGCGCCGUCGCGUCUCAUCUUCCUCAAGGUCUUCAAUUCGGUGGCUCGUCAAGCUCCAUUGUACUUUCCUCCGUGACCUCUCCUCCUUGCCAACCGUCGGCGAACCAAACCAGGGUCUCUCAAACCUCGACGGGACUUGUUCCUAAACCAAGGUUCUUGUAUUUGCAAGACUGGUCCUUUAGCUUUCAACUAUUUACAAUUUAGCCUUAAAAAUUACAGAUUUGUACACAAAUUACUUGUACAAUAAUAUAUUAACACCAUAUAAUUUCACAACAUGAUUAUACGGGCACAAAAAUAAUAUGUGUACAUGAGUACAUUUUCACAUGUGUACAUUGUAUAUUACUAAAGGAACGAUUGUACACAUGUAUAGUAAAUUUAUGUACACAUGCAAUAUUUUCGGUGUACACAAAUAUGAUGUACACAAAAUAAAACAUAAAUGCAAAUUUAUAGCUAAAACUUUGCAAAAUAAUUAUUGUAUUGCAUUUGUGUUUUAUUUUGUGUACAUCAUGUUUGUGUACACAAAGAUAUUGCGCGUGUACAUACUUUUAGUGUACAUGUGAAAUAAGU